UGACAACUUAUUAGACUGAAGAUAAGAAACCUUAAAUGAUAACGAUGUGUGAUAAAAAAAUCCGAUACAAUAAUAAUCGUGGUGACUACAUCUGUUAUACAGAAGCCAAGAAUGGAAGAAACCUGUUUACUGCUCAUCCUGCUGCUCUCAGCAGUGACAAAGCAAACAGUGGUGAAAAUGAAGCUUCAGUCAGAGGCAGACAUGCACAGCACAGAGAUCCAGCAGCAGGUUUCACAGCAGGUCAGCAGUUCAGUCACCAACACAAACUUGACACAAGUUCAAACUAUGCUUCAUGUUUUUCAUCAUCUGCACAUUUUGUCCAGCUGUCAGGCCUCAUGCUGUCAGAAGGACUGACAGACUUCAGGAUUCAUUGCAGGAAAGUCCAGAGUUACCGUGACGACCAGUUGAAGAAGCAGGAUGUGGGCGGUGACUGCAAAACUGAAGUCUGACUGGACUGAACCACUUCAUGUGUGAAGUUAAUAACAUGCUGUGCUGAGCUGUCUCAUCCUUUACCUCACCUUGCACUGUUGCCAUAGUUAUUGUUGUAAUCUUAAUUUUGCACUUUCUUCAUUUCUUCUUAUUGUAUUUUAAAGAUUAAAUUAGCUUUCUUUUUUUUAAUUAAUGUUUUUGUGUUGUGCAAAUAAUCAACAGCUGUUUGUUUGAAAACGAUGUACACAUGUAGGUUGGUAUAUAUCACCUUUUUUUGCAAGGCCACCCGCUCGUCACCCCAUGCUCUCGACACAGGGAAACACAUUCUGCCUGGUAGACCUACCCUGGCACUUCUGCAGGUGAAGCCAAAGGCAAGAUAUGCUUCAUCAUAUUUUCUAGUGCUUGUCUUGGAUGAAGUUGGUUUGGAAACAUACUUGGCAAUGCUUCAUCUUCUGCUUUGGGUUUGUGUGGGAGCCCCUUCAAAAACCUGUCCAUUAUGCUAGCAGUGUCCAAGCAUUCUAUCUCGCCUUUUUUUUCAUAUCACGCCCCCUCUGCAAUGGCUCUACACCCCCACUAGGGGGCACGUCCCCCACUUUGGGAGCCUCUGGUAUGUAUAAAAGUAAAAACGGCUUUGAUUAUAAGAUGAUCAGACCAGUGAAACUCCCAUUUCUGUCAGUAUAAAAAGGACACAUGUUUAAGAGUUUUGUUACUCAGACAGAAAUACAAGUUUUGUUGGCUCAUCAUCCACACUGUCUGCUUAUUUUUUUUCCCUUUAAACUGUAAAAACAAACAGCACCUCUGUAGUGAAAAUCAGAAAGUUUUCAAACUUUUCUGUCAUUUAAUGUUUAUUGUUUAACUACUUUAUAAAGUGUGAAUGGCCACACAGAAGGCUUUUAUCAUUAGAAAAACCUUUAAAACUUACAAGAAAAAGAUGCUGACCGAGCUUUUCCUGAUGUUCAUUCUUUUAGUUGCUGUUUCAAUACCAACUAGGCCUGCACACAGGCAUUUGGACAAGUGGACCCAAACUGAGUCGACUCAUUUAUCUUUUUAUUUAUUCAGCUGUAUUCUAAACACCAGCUGCCUGUUGUAGGUUUUGGAGUGUUUGUGUGAUAUUUG
rnacentral:lncRNA from 1 species